rnacentral:lncRNA from 1 species
AAAAUGAUCACUUGUACACUCAAAAUAUAUGCCGAUAAGGCCAUACAGUAUUUCAUAUGCAUGAAAUAUGUUUACAAGCCUCAAAUAGUAUAUAAACGUAAUAAAGGUCGGGAUAAGCCCUGCCAUACCAAUAAUUACAUGUCCGAAGCAUAAAGUGGAGUGCGCCAACACCUUCCGCUAGCUAAUAGACUACUUGGAGGACUGUCAACCUGUCUAUCAGGACCUGCGGCAUGCAAAAGGAAUGUCAGUACGAAUAGAGUACCGAGUAUGUAAAGCAUGAAAAGCAAUAUAUAAAACAUGUGAAAGAACAUGGAGUAAAGGACUCAACCUGUAAGUCUGAACAGCUCUAUGAAUCAUGAAACGUUUAUAAUGCCAUGAAUAUGCAUACAAAUUUCAUAUUAUGCAUAGGUAUAUGCAUACAUAACAUCAUCGAGCCUAUGAGGGCAUCCCAUAAUAUCAUCUUGGCCUUAGUGGGCAAAAUCAUCAAAGUAUACUAGCUGAUCAGGUGGUGGUGCGUAUAUAACGCCGUAACCUUUUUCCAUACCCUUAUAUACAUAUAAUAUAUGCAUAUAUAAUGUCAUCUGGUCAUGGUUCACUGUAUAUGUAUAAAUUAAUGCAAUGCAUAAGGAAGUGAGUCGAUAAGAUCUAUCAGAAUGUUAUAAGAUUAAUAUGCCUUUGGUUAAUAUCAUGAAAUAAACUUUAUCAACUUAUGUAUUUUCUAAGACCCAUGAACAGAAGAUAUAAUAAUAUGACACAUGGGGAGUCAAGAACAUAGGCACGUCUAGUACUUCUAUGAAUAGAGUCAAUUGUGAAAGGCUCGCGUUUGCUCGUUUUGUUUUUAUCAUAUAGACCAUGCCAAAAAGAAAGAAGUGAUAGACUUAACAUACCUUUGUCAUUUAAUUAACCUCAUGGCGUUGGUUCAACCCAUUAGUACUUUAAUCUAUAACAACAAUAUGGAAGCAUUAUUAAGCUUACAAAAGCUAGAAAUCAACACAAAUGAGCGACUAGCUCGUCUACGAGUAAUUGGACAAAACCUCCCCUUAUUUUUUUCCUUUCCUCAACUAAAAAACAAGACCAACAUUCCCAAAAUGUCAACAAACAUAUUACAUCAAUAUUCCACCUUGAAAUCCAUCGCAAUAAAUCACCAAAACAGUCUACACAAUCUCACACAACAACCAGUGCUACUUUGCACUUUUUCUUCCCUAAAAUAUAGCAAGAACUUGAAUACACUUCAAUAUUGACAGCCACAAUAUACUCAGGUUAUACAUACUUCUUUUUAAGCCACAACACAACAUAAAAAUGAACUCAUAGCAGUCCACAAAUUAUAGCAACUCAAAAUUAAUUUUCAGAUUAUUACUUCAUCAAUUCUUACUCUCCCAACUUAGUUAGGGCACCAAUAAGCUUAAAAACAACAUGUACAAGAUAAUAUUCACAUGUGAUAGCCAUAUAAUAACAUAAAACUACUUCAAACAGCCCAUAACACCUCAACUACUUCAACUCAAUUUUCAGCCCCUACUUCACAAGUCCUUCAACAAAAAACCUAGCUUGAACUUGGAUAAACUCAAAUAAAUGAAGAAGAGAUAAUUUUCUUACCUAGAUCAGAUUUUGUGGGGAUUAAACAAAUGGUAGUAUCUUUCCCUUGAUGACCAUUAACUUGCUUCACUUCAGAUCCUUCAAGAUUGGAGAUUACUGUUUAACUUGAAUUGAAAGAAGAAGAAGAAGAUUAUUGGCAACUUCUUGAGGGUUUGGAGUAGAUCCAUUUGGGAGAGAAUUUCGUGGCUCUAUUUGUUCUUAUACUACUUGGACAUUAUGAGGAUAGGUGUGUUAAUUCAACCCCUAAAAAGGCCCUUUUGGCUAACCUACACAUAUCCAUUUAGGUGGACUAAUUUGGGCCUUCCGUUUUUGCAGGUAGGCGAUUGUCACCGACUUGGUUACUUAAUAGGUGUCACGACCCGGAUUUUUCACCCUCCGGAGUCGAGAUGGCUCCUACUAGUGAAAGCUAGGUAAGCCAACUAUUACGUUUUAAUUACCCUUUUCAAGUUUUUAAGUCCUUAUAAUUUCAAAACAACAUAUCAAAACAACGAAAAUUACAAUAUCAAUAACAAAGCGGAAGACAGAAUCUGAUAAUUUUACUUAAUACAAACUGCGGAAGUCUAAAUACAACUCUACCCAGAAUUUGGUGUCACAAUUUCACAGACUGUCUAUGAUUACUACAAACAAAGUCUGAAUAGAAACACACGAAUCUAUCUUUAAAUAAGUAUAAACAGAAAAGAAAUGAUAGAAGGAGACGCCAAGGCCCGUGGAUGCCUGUAGGACUACCUCGGGUCGCCUGUUGGACUGAAGGCAGCAACCUCACUGUGGUCCAAAUGCUCCGGUACUAGUAUCUGUGCACAGUGCAAAGUGUAGCAUCAGCACAACCGACCCCAUGUGCUGGUAAAUGCCUAGCCUAACCUCGGCGAAGUAGUGACAAGAGUAGGACCAAACUACCAAGUAAACCUAUGUAGUUAAAUCAUAUAUAGCGGAAAAUAAGAUAAUCACAACAAAGAUGGGAGGGGGAAUAACAUGCUACGGGGAGUAUCGAAUAACAACAGAAUACCAAAGAGAAACGUAAAGAAACUAACAUUCAAUUACUAACAGAAUAAGAAAAACAAACACAAUAUUCACUUUCAUCUCUUUCUUGUUGCAGGCGUGCAACCCGAUCCCAUUUCAUAUAUCUCAUUGCAGGCGUGCCACCCGCUCCCAUUUACAAAUCAACAUCAAUCACAAAAGAAUCCUGGCAAGGGCACAAAAGUACACAACAAUAUCCUGGAAAGGGAGACAAUGUCGUAAACAAUACAUCCCAGCAAGGUAGACAAUAUUAUAAACCAUAACAUCCUGGCAAGGGAACCAACAAUGAUAAUCAACAUUUUAGGCAUGAACAAAUCACAACGGAGUCACAACAAUUACAAAAUGAGACUCACGGGCAUGCUUGACACCGACGUAUAGAUACUCGUCACCAUGCCUAUACGUCGUACUCUACAAUUAACACAUAGAAAAUAAGAUACAACUUCUAAUCCCUCAAGCUAACGUUAGACCAAACACUUACCUAAACCUUCCACGGCCAACUCAAGCCUCAAACACCGCUUUUCCUUUAGAAUUCGCCUCCAAAUUAUUUGUAUCUAGUCCAAAUUAAUUUAACAACAUCAAUAAAUGCUAAAAAAUUCAUACCCAAAGCUUAAUUAUAGGUUUUCUAUCAUUUCCCCCAAAAAGUCAAAAAUUGACUCCGGGCCCGCUUGGUCAAAACUCGAGGUUCGGACCAAAACCCGAUCACCCAUUCACCCACAAGCCCAAAUAUGUAAUUAGUUUCGAAAUCCGACCCCAAAACGAGGUCUAAUUUCCAAUUAUUCAAAAAAAACCUAACUCUACCCAAAUUUCUAAUUUCUACCAUAAAAAAAUCACUAGAUUUUUGGAUGAAAUUUGAUGAAAUUCAAUGGGAAAUCGAAAGAAAAAGGUUUAGAAUCAUAUACCAAUGCUUUGGGGAAGAACUUGUUCUUUGAAAAUCGCCUCAAAGCUCUCUAGUUUUGAAAAUAUGAAGUUAUGGACUCAAUCCCGAUUUGCUACUAUUUUUAAUUCACUGGACAGGCCUUUUUCGCAUUGGCAAAGGGUCAGGUUCAGUUGCCUUUGCGUUCGCGUUUAGCGGCUCGCGUUCGUGGAGCUUUAGCUCCUCAAGCCAUGGCGUUCGUGGGCCAGUUGCCGCGUUCGCGUAGUACAAAAAUCCCUUUCCCCCAUGUCCCAGCCAAAAGACCUUCGCGUUCGCGAAGGGUAGCACCCCUAGUGCUUCGCGUUCGCGUCCUGUUUCUCGCGUUCGCGUAGAAGGAAUUGUCCUUCAGCCUGAGUUACCCUUCGCAUUCGCGAGAUUCCUUCUGUGAACGCGAAGAACAAAAACUCCAGAAUACCAGAAACUGAAACCCUGCAACUUUUCUAAGUAUAAAAACGUCCCGAAACCCAUCUGAAACUCACCCGAGCCCUCAGGGCUCCAAAGGAAACAUGCAUCUAACUCAAAAACAUCAUAUGUACUUAUUCGUACCAUCAAAUCGCAAAAUUAACACCUUUAACAAUGAAUUUAGCAUCAAAAUCAAAGGAAAAUCUCAAGAACACUUAAGUUUUAAAUUUCACUACCGAGGGUCCGAUUCACGUCAUUUCAAGUCCGUUUCUUACCAAAUUUUUUAAGCUCAACUUAAAUCACAUAUAAGUCCUAUACCAGGUUCCGGAACCAAAAUAUGGGGCCGAUACCAUCACAUUCAAACAUAUUUAAAUUUCUAAAAACUCUUAAAAUUUCAGUUAAACAAUUUUCUCCAAAAAUUCAUUUCUCGGACUUGGGACCUCGGAAUUCGAUUCGCGGCAUAUGCCCAAAUCCCAUAUUUUCCUACGGACCCCUCCAGGACCGUCAAAUCACGGGUCCAGAUCCGUUUACCCAAAAUGUUGACCGAAGUCAACUUAAAUUCAUUUUAAGAGCAAAAUUUAUCAUUUUUCACAGAUUUUCACAUAAUGACUUUUCGGAUACAUGCCUAGACGAUGCACGCAAAUAGAGGUGAGACAAAAGGGACAUCGUAUUCUCCACCUCUAAAACAACCGUUCUUCCUCGAACGGACAUAAGAAGGAAGUAUCUGAGUCGGAGAAAAGAUGGGGAUAACGGCUCCGCAUAUCGGACUCGGACUCCCGGGUCGAUGCCUCAACAGGUUGACCUCUCCACUAAACACGAACAGAAGGGAAACUCUUCGACCUCAACUGACAAACCUACCGGUCUAGAAUAGCUACUGACUCCUCCUCAUAGGACAAGUCUUUGUCCAACUGGACAGUGUUGAAGUCUAACACGCGAGAUGGAUCACCGUGAUACUUUCGAAGCAUGGACACAUGAAAUAUUGGAUGCACGACUGAUAAGCUCGGCGACAACGCAAGUCUGUAAGCCACCUCUCCCACUCGAUCAAGAAUCUCAAACGGGCCAAUGAACCUAGGGCUAAGCUUGCCCUUCUUUCCAAAUCUCAUCACGCUUUUCAUAGGCGACACCCGAAGCAACACCCGCUCACCGACCAUGAAUGCCACAUCACGAACCUUACGGUCGGCAUAACUCUUUUCCCUGGAUUGAGCUGUAUGAAGCCUAUCCUGAAUGAUCAUGACCUUGUCCAAGGCAUCCCGCACUAGAUCCGUACCCAACAACUGAGCCUCUUCUGGCUCAAACCACCCAACCGGCGACCGACACCGCUUACCAUAUAAAGCCUCAUAAAGAGUUAUAUGGAUGCUCGACUGGUAGCUGUUGUUGUAGGAAAACUUUGCUAAAGGCAAAAACUGAUCCCACGAGCCUCCAAAGUCAAUGACACAAGCUCGGAGCAUAUCCUCUAAAAUCUGAAUAGUGCGCUCGGACUGCCCGUCCGUCUGAGGAUGAAAUGUUGUGCUCAACUCGCCCCGUGUGCUCAACUCACACUGAAUUGCUCUCUAGAAAUGUGAGGUAAACUGCAUACCUUGGUCCGAAAUGAUAGACACGGUCAAACCAUGAAGACGAACAAUCUCCCGAAUAUAGAUCUCAACUAACCUAUCGGAAGAAUAAGAGACUGCCACAUGAAUGAAAUGUCCUGACUUGGUCAGCCUAUCAACAAUAAGCCAUACUGCAUCGAACUUCCUCCGAGUCUGUGGGAGUCCAACAACGAAGUCCAUAGUGAUACGCUCCCACUUCCACCCGGGAAGCUCAACCCUCUAAAACAAACCACCAGGUCUCGGAUGCUCGUAUUUUACCUGCUGACAGUUCAAACACUGAGCCACAUAUGCAACAAUACCCUUCUUCAUCCUCCUCCACCAAUAAUGUUGCCGCAAAUCCUGAUACAUCUUAGCAGCGCCCGGAUGAAUAGAGUACCGGGAACUAUAGGCCUCCUCUAAAAUCAACUCUCGGAGCCCAUCCACAUUAGGCCCACAAACUCGACCCUGCAGCCUCAAAACUCCAUCAUCUCCUAAUGUAACCUGCUUGGCACCAGUAUGCAACACCGUGUCCCUAAGGACACACAAUUGAUGAUCAUCAUAUUGUUGAUCUCGGAUACUCUCCAAUAAAGAAGAACGGGCGAUUGUGCAAGCUAAUACAUGGCUGGGCUCAGAAACAUCCAACCUCACGAACAGAUUGGCCAAAACCUGAACAUCCAAAGCAAGUAGUCUCUCACCGUCCGGAAUAUACGCAAGACUGCCCAUACUGGCUGACUUCCUACUCAAAGCAUCGGCCACCAAAUUGGCCUUUCCCGGAUGGUAUAAGAUGGUGAUAUCAUAGUCUUUCAAUAGCUCCAACCACCUUCUCUGCCUCAAAUUUAGCUCCUUCUACUUGAACAAAUACUGUAGACUCUUGUGAUCCAUGAACACCUCACAUGCCGCGCCAUAUAAAUAAUGCCUCCAAAUCUUCAACGCGUGAAUAAUGGCUGCUAACUCCAAAUCAUGAACCAGAUAGUUCUUCUCAUGAAUCUUCAACUGACGCGAAGCAUAAGCAAUGACCUUGCCAUUGUCACACCCCCUUUUUACCCGCAUAAUGGGAUAUAAGGGAGUUUUUUCAAUUAAAGUGACAAUAACCGAAAUAGAAUUAUUUAUAUUCAAAUUCAGAGUCGCCACUUGGGAUUAUUUAUGGUAUCUCAAGUCACCGAUUUAAAAUCCUGAAUCAAGGAAGUUGACUCUGAUUUAUGGUCUGCGAACACAUAAGACCGGGUAAGGAAUUCUGUUAAUCAAGGAGAAGGUGUUAGGCAUUCCUGGGUUCUAUGGUUUUAGCAUGGUCGCUUUAAUCAUACCUGGCUUAAUUAAAUCAUUUAAUUACGUAUUGGGACCUAUGUGCAUUUACACUUUUAACCGCUUUUAAAUACUUGAUUAUUAGUGAUCGUGGAAUUAUCUUAAAACGAGUUAUGUGUACGUGUACUUAUUUCGUUUGGCGCGUCAAGAAUCAUGUCACGCGUAUGUGUCUACUAUUAAUCAUGCUUUAUUAUUAAGAAAAAACUUGGCAAAAGUUGCACAAACACAUACUUUGGUUUAUUUUGGAAUCGUAAUUAUGUCACGCGAACGUAUACAUAAUCACGAUAAUUUGAUUAAUUAAGAGUGUGCCUGAAGCUACUAACGUGUUCAUGAAUAUUAUAAAAUUAUUUACAGACUAAUAAAAGAGGACAACUAUAUGAUACUAACGGGCCUAGCAAAUUAAACAUACUUUGGUAAAAGAUUUUCUAAUUCAUAACAAACUUCAACGGCCCACUUUAUUCUUGCAACCCAAAUUCUUUCGCCUAACCUAAACAAAAACCCAAAGGAUCAGCAUAUUUCUCAUGAUAAGGUUGGCUCAAAAUUAGUUGUUUUUCACAACUCAACUACUAAAGGUGACUCAUUAUUUAUGAACUAAAUUAGAUCUAAACACAUUAAAACUUGAACAGUAAAAUAUAUUGGAUAAAGCCAACAUUAAAGGAAAAUAAACUAGUACAGUUAACAUUCUUUCAACCACAAAAAGACAAAACAACACAUACUAACAAAAUAUACAAAGAAUAAAAUAGAAGAAGGAGAACUUGACCUUCAUUAAUGUAAAACCAUCUUUAGCAUAAUGGAAGAACUCCAUAGAUGUUGGAACAAAAGCCAUAAAUUGUGACAGACCCACGACCGAAAACCUCGAAUCUCGCCGGGUAAAGCUCGUCGGAAAAUUAGACUCGAACCCGACUAAAUAUACUAUUGUUUUGUGAGGAAAAUGGGCUUUUUUUGAGGUGUUUAUGGCUGGUUGCGGGGCUAUUACAGGAGCUGAUUUUGUAGCCAUUUUAUGGCUGAUUUUUGGUGGUGAAAGGUGAUGAUUCCAGCUGGGCUUGGUGCUGUUUUUCAGCAGCUAUUGGAGUCAUAUUUGGCUGGUUUUAGUCUGUUUUCUCGCUGGUUUCAUGGCUGAUUUUGUAGAUGUUUUUGCUAUACAUUUAAGGUGAGAUUUGAGAAGAAAUUAGUGGUAGUUUAAUGCUUUUUUUUGCUGCUUUUGGAACUGAUUUUUGCUAAGUUUUCGCUGCUGGUUUCGAGCUUGGUUUCAGGUAUAAAAUGGUGGUGUUUGGCUGAGGUUUUGGAGCUGUGUUAAUGGGCUAAACAAGGGUGCUGGACGUGGCUGAUUUUGCCGGAUAUGAGGAUAGUUUAUGAGCUGGUUCAGCUGGUUUUCAUGGUGCAACAAUGGUGAAAAGAUGUUAUGGGUUAGUGAGGAAGAUAAGUGAAGUUUGGAGUGUUUAAUGGAGCUUUUGUAGUGUUUUCAGUGAACUCCCAUAGUGAAAAUGAAAAAGAAGAAGAAAAGCUGUGAAGAUGGUGAAGAAAAGCUGUGUUUUGCUUGAAGAGGAAGAAAUGAACGCUUUCUUUUUCCUUCUGAUUUCUGUUCGACCUUUUUUUCUCGUUUUUUGUUUUCUGUUUUUUGCCCCCUGAUCUCCCCUAUUCUUUUUGUUCCCCAGCUUUCCUUCUUAUAUAAUGU